AAUAUCCUGCCCCUGCGCGUGAUGUGUCUAUGUUUUUGACCCAACACCUUUUGAAAUGGGAACUAUCUUUCAUCCCGUCGUACAGGACGAGAUUAAGGGUGCCCACUUUUAUUUAAAGGUUUAAAAAUAUUGAUACACACGGCAGGGGCGGGGCUGA
rnacentral:other from 1 species